GACGAACGCUGGCGGCGUGCCUAAUACAUGCAAGUCGAGCGAAGUUUUUCUGGUGCUUGCACCGGAAAAACUUAGCGGCGAACGGGUGAGUAACACGUAAAGAACCUGCCUCAUAGACUGGGACAACUAUUGGAAACGAUAGCUAAUACCGGAUAACAGCAUUAACUGCAUGGUUGAUGUUUAAAAGUUGGUUUUGCUAACACUAUGAGAUGGCUUUGCGGUGCAUUAGCUAGUUGGUGGGGUAAAGGCCUACCAAGGCGACGAUGCAUAGCCGACCUGAGAGGGUGAUCGGCCACACUGGGACUGAGACACGGCCCAGACUCCUACGGGAGGCAGCAGUAGGGAAUCUUCCGCAAUGGGCGAAAGCCUGACGGAGCAACGCCGCGUGAGUGAAGAAGGAUUUCGGUUCGUAAAGCUCUGUUGUUAGGGAAGAAUGAUUGUGUAGUAACUAUACACAGUAGAGACGGUACC
rnacentral:rRNA from 1 species